rnacentral:tRNA from 1 species
GGCUGAAUGUGGGACUUGGUAAUCCAGCAAUCUUCAUACGAUUGAGCAUGAGAGUUCGAACCUCUCUUCCGCCACCA